CCGAAAGAUGACAUAAUUUGCGAUUGACACGUGCGACCGGAGUUACACGCCUGUUUCUCUUAACGGCGCAUGUGCUGUGAUAUUCAAUUCUUACAUAUUCUGACA
rfam:Aureobasidium subglaciale EXF-2481 unplaced genomic scaffold scaffold_29, whole genome shotgun sequence.